CUCACAAACAUUAUGAUGAUGGAGACUCAUGAGGGGGCCUUGUGCUCUGGACUGCUAGUGUGUGCCACAGCCUCCUUUCUCAUCACUUUACCAAAAGAUGUGAUUUGAAAAACAUAUGAAAAUAUUGCCACUGAACUCCCACACCAAUUCCUGAAGAGCUACUGAGGAUUUUGGUGUCACUUUAGAAGUCACUCUAUUUGUGAAUAGCCCAGCAAGAGAAUCAGGUCAAGCUAUUAGGGAGAGUCUAUGGAAAGCAAUGGAAUCAAAUUUCCAGCCAGAAUUUCAGGGUAAAAUUAGAAGUCUUCAAGAAGUAAACUAUGAGCCAACCAGCAUCCCUACUUGGACACUGCUCCAGCUGCCUGAAUGACGUAACUAACAUUUAGAGAUAACAGUGAAUAGAAAGACACACACGACACCAUCUGAAUCACAGUAAAGAGAUGGGUGGACCUGG
rnacentral:lncRNA from 1 species